rnacentral:rRNA from 1 species
GUCUAUGGCCAUACCACCCUGAACGUGCCCAAUCUCGUCUGAUCUCAGAAGCUAACCAGAGUUGGGCCUGGUUAGUACUUGGAUGGGAGAAUUACAAUAUACAGACUUAAUUUCCACAGACU